rnacentral:rRNA from 1 species
AUUGAACGCUGGCGGCAGGCCUAACACAUGCAAGUCGAACGAGUGGCGGACGGGUGAGUAAUGUCUGUGAACCUGCCCGAUGGAGGGGGAUAACUACUGGAAACGGUAGCUAAUACCGCAUACCAUCGGAUGUGCCCAUGUGGGAUUAGCUCGUAGGUGGGGUAACGGCUCACCUAGGCGACGAUCCCUAGCUGGUCUGAGAGGAUGACCAGGCACACUGGAACUGAGACACGGUCCAGACUCCUACGGGAGGCAGCAGUGGGGAAUUUUGGACAAUGGGGUAAACACUGAUGCAGCCAUGCCGCGUGCAUGAAGAAGGCCCUCGGGUUGUAAAGUAAUUUCAGCGAGGAGGCGGUACUCGCAGAAGAAGCACCGGCUAACUCCGUGCCAGCCGCCGCGGUAAUAC